rnacentral:rRNA from 1 species
GACGAACGCUGGCGGCGUGCUUAACACAUGCAAGUCGAACGGUGAAGCGCCUUCCUUUUUGGUGGGUGUGGAUGAGUGGCGAACGGGUGAGUAACACGUGAGUAACCUGCCCCCUUCUUCUGGAUAACCGCAUGAAAGUGUGGCUAAUACGGGAUAUUCUGUGUCUGUCGCAUGAUGGGUCUGGGAAAGAUAUUGUUUCGGUGGGGGAUGGGCUCGCGGCCUAUCAGCUUGUUGGUGGGGUGAUGGCCUACCAAGGCGGUGACGGGUAGCCGGCCUGAGAGGGUGGACGGUCACACUGGGACUGAGACACGGCCCAGACUCCUACGGGAGGCAGCAGUGGGGAAUAUUGCACAAUGGGCGCAAGCCUGAUGCAGCGACGCCGCGUGAGGGAUGGAGGCCUUCGGGUUGUGAACCUCUUUCGCCAGUGAAGCAGGCCUGCCUCGUUUGUGGGUGGGUUGACGGUAGCUGGAUAAGAAGCGCCGGCUAACUACGUG